rnacentral:rRNA from 1 species
AUGAACGCUGGCGGCGUGCCUCAUCCUUGCAAGUCGCGCGAACAGACGAGGAGCUUGCUCCUCUGACGUUAGCGGCGGACGGGUGAGUAACACGUGGAUAACCUACCUAUAAGACUGGGAUAACUUCGGGAAACCGGAGCUAAUACCGGAUAAUAUAUUGAACCGCAUGGUUCAAUAGUGAAAGACGGUUUUGCUGUCACUUAUAGAUGGAUCCGCGCCGCAUUAGCUAGUUGGUAAGGUAACGGCUUACCAAGGCAACGAUGCGUAGCCGACCUGAGAGGGUGAUCGGCCACACUGGAACUGAGACACGGUCCAGACUCCUACGGGAGGCAGCAGUAGGGAAUCUUCCGCAAUGGGCGAAAGCCUGACGGAGCAACGCCGCGUGAGUGAUGAAGGUCUUCGGAUCGUAAAACUCUGUUAUUAGGGAAGAACAAAUGUGUAAGUAACUAUGCACGUCUUGACGGUACCUAAUCAGAAAGCCACGGCUAACUACGUG